rnacentral:ncRNA from 1 species
AAAGACUAAUCGAACCGUCUAGUAGCUGUUCCCUUCGAAGUUUCCCUCAGGAUAGCUGGCGCUCUGUCGCAGUAUUAUCUGGUAAAGCGAAUGAUUAGAGGUCUGGGGGGCGAAACGCCCCUCCACCCCUUUUUUUCAACUUUAAAUUGGUAAGAAGCCCGACUCGCUGCGUUUGGAGCCGGGCAUGGAAUGCGAGUGCCAAGUGGGCCACUCUUGGUAAGCAGGACUGGCGAUGCGGGAUGAACCGAACGCCGGGUUAAGGCGCCCGACGCGACGCUCAUCAGAGCCCACAAAAGGUGUUGGUUGAUAUAGACAGCAGGACGGUGGCCAUGGAAGUCGGAAACCGCUAAGGAGUGUGUAACAACUCACCUGCCGAAUCAAUCAGCCCUGAAAAUGGAUGGCGCUGGAGCGUCGGGCCUAUACCCGGCCCGUCGCGGCGGUACGAGCAUCGAGUUGGUGCGCUAGGCCGCGACGAGUAGGAGGGCCGCGGCGGCGGGCGUAGAAGCCUAGGGCGCGAGCCCGGGUGGAGCAGCCGUCGGUGCAGAUCUUGGUGGUAGUAGCAAAUAUUCAAAUGAGAACUUUGAAGGCCGAAGUGGAGAAGGGUUCCAUGUGAACAGCAGUUGAACAUGGGUCAGUCGACCCUAAGGGAUAGGCGAAGGCCGUUCUGAAGCGGGGUGAUGUUCGCGUCGCCCCGGACGGACCGAAAGGGAAUCGGGUUAAUAUUCCCGAACCUCGACGCGGAGAUUGGCGCUCCGGCGCCUAGUGCGGCAACGCAAACGAACUCGGAAACGCCGACGUGGGUCCCGGGAAGAGUUCUCUUUUCUUGGUAAGGGGCGGCGACCCUGGAAUCGGUUCGCCCGGAGAUAGGGACAUGGGCCCCGUAAAGCAGCACGUCUCUUGUGCUGUCCGGUGAGCUCGCGUCGGCCCUUGAAAAUCCGAGGGAGACGGUGUAAUUUUCGUGCGAGGUCGUACCCAUAUCCGCAGCAGGUCUCCAAGGUGAACAGCCUCUGGCCGAUAGAACAAUGUAGGUAAGGGAAGUCGGCAAACUAGAUCCGUAACUUCGGGAAAAGGAUUGGCUCUAGGGGCUGGGUCGGUCGGGCUGAGGUACGAAGCGGGGCGCGGCGCUGUACCGGACUGGGCGAACGACGGCCUCCCUCGCGGGGGGCUGGCGUGAGCCUGGACCUGUGUCGGCGUCUUCCCGUGGAAUGCCGCAGCUAACGCGGGCCUCGCGGCCCGCUUCGGCCGGCGUCGAACAGCCGACUUAGAACUGGUACGGACCGGGGGAAUCCGACUGUUUAAUUAAAACAAAGCUUUGCGAUGGCCGUCAGCCGGUGUUGACGCAAUGUGUUUCUGCCCAGUGCUCUGAAUGUCAAAGUGAAGAAAUUCAACCAAGCGCGGGU